rnacentral:rRNA from 1 species
AUGCAAGUCGAGCGGGGGAAGGUAGCUUGCUACCGGACCUAGCGGCGGACGGGUGAGUAAUGCUUAGGAAUCUGCCUAUUAGUGGGGGACAACAUCUCGAAAGGGAUGCUAAUACCGCAUACGUCCUACGGGAGAAAGCAGGGGAUCUUCGGACCUUGCGCUAAUAGAUGAGCCUAAGUCGGAUUAGCUAGUUGGUGGGGUAAAGGCCUACCAAGGCGACGAUCUGUAGCGGGUCUGAGAGGAUGAUCCGCCACACUGGGACUGAGACACGGCCCAGACUCCUACGGGAGGCAGCAGUGGGGAAUAUUGGACAAUGGGGGGAACCCUGAUCCAGCCAUGCCGCGUGUGUGAAGAAGGCCUUAUGGUUGUAAAGCACUUUA